GUAUAAAACGAUAUACCACGUGGAUGUAGAUAGAGUAGAUGAUUAUUGAUGA
rnacentral:guide_RNA from 1 species